GCUUGGGUAGCUCAGUUGGUAGAGCACUUGCCCGCGACGCUACGGUCGCAGGUUCGAGUCCUGCCUCGGGCA
rnacentral:tRNA from 1 species